UUCACUUACACGUUUUUGUCU
rnacentral:piRNA from 1 species